UACAGAGGUCCCGAGCGUUGUUCGGAUUCACUGGGCGUAAAGGGUGCGUAGGUGGCUGGAAAAGUUUGAUGUGAAAGCUCAGGGCUUAACCCUGAAAUGGCAUUGAAUACUGUCGAGCUGGAGGUUUGGAGGGGGGACUGGAAUUCUUGGUGUAGCAGUGAAAUGCGUAGAUAUCAAGAGGAACACCAGUGGCGAAGGCGAGUCCCUGGACAACACCUGACACUGAGGCACGAAAGCGUGGGGAGCAAACAGG
rnacentral:rRNA from 1 species